AGUCGAGCGGUAACAGGAAAGUGCUUGCACUUUUGCUGACGAGCGGCGGACGGGUGAGUAAUGCCUAGGUAUCUGCCCAGUCGAGGGGGAUAACAGUUGGAAACGACUGCUAAUACCGCAUACGCCCUACGGGGGAAAGGAGGGGACCUUCGGGCCUUUCGCGAUUGGAUGAACCUAGGUGGGAUUAGCUAGUUGGUGAGGUAAUGGCUCACCAAGGCGACGAUCCCUAGCUGGUCUGAGAGGAUGAUCAGCCACACUGGAACUGAGACACGGUCCAGACUCCUACGGGAGGCAGCAGUGGGGAAUAUUGCACAAUGGGGGAAACCCUGAUGCAGCCAUGCCGCGUGUGUGAAGAAGGCCUUCGGGUUGUAAAGCACUUUCAGCGAGGAGGAAAGGUUGAGUCUUAAUACGGCUUAGAUGUGACGUUACUCGCAGAAGAAGCACCGGCUAACUUCGUGCCAGCAGCCGCGGUAAUACGAGGGGUGCAAGCGUUAAUCGGAAUUACUGGGCGUAAAGCGUACGCAGGCGGUUUGUUAAGCAAGAUGUGAAAGCCCUGGGCUCAAGCCUAGGAACCGCAUUUUGAACUGGCAAACUAGAGUCUUUGUAGA
rnacentral:rRNA from 1 species